AGCAACAGAGUCAGAAUAACUGUGGUCACCAAAGAAUGAAGUCAAGAAAAUACUCCGGGUUCACGGAGUGAUUCGGAGAGAAAGUAGAAAGAAUUCCAUAGUCACUUGGGAUGGUGGCAUUACUGGUACCAGAUCUGACCUCCUGCUGGAUGAAAAUCUAUGAAACGACAUUGGAGCAUACAGACCACAGUACUGAGACCUUCAGGAGAAGCCGCAAGUAAAGAAACCCUGUCAUUUGUUGAAGGCUUGAUCCUCAGCUUGGGGAGAUACUGGAAACUUUAUGAGGUAGUGCCUAGUUGGAGGAAGUUUAUCAGUGAAGCAUGCCCUUGAAGAUGUAUUUCUCAGCAGCCUCUCUGUGUGCCCCCACUAUGUGCCUCCCCAAAGUGAUGCACAGGUCCAAAGUGAUGGACCAAGUGACCAUGAACCCAAAAUAAACCUUUCCUCCUUUUGUUUUCUUGGCUA